UACGGGGGGGGCAAGCGUUGUUCGGAAUUACUGGGCGUAAAGGGCGCGUAGGCGGCCCGCUUAGUCGGACGUGAAAUCCCUCGGCUCAACCGAGGAACUGCGUCCGAUACUGGCGGGCUCGAAUCCGGGAGAGGGAUGUGGAAUUCCAGGUGUAGCGGUGAAAUGCGUAGAUAUUAGGAAGAACACCAGUGGCGAAGGCGGCUCACUGGUCCGGUACUGACGCUGAGGUGCGAAAGCGUGGGGAGCAAACAGG
rnacentral:rRNA from 1 species